rnacentral:lncRNA from 1 species
CAAAAACCCAACAGACUGUAAAAAAAAAUAUACAUGAAUUCAACAGUACUUUAGAAGAAAGUAUUCUUAAAAAGUGAUAAUCAUUAUGUUUGUCCGUGAACAUAGAGUUCAUAGUUUGCCUUUAACACAAAUUCAAAGUAAGCAUUAUAUCUCAAGGAGCCCAGUUCGUUUGCUUGCAGAAAGUCCUUCACGUCCGGUAAAUAUUCACUUAGUUGAACUCCUUCUUUCAAUAGCUUUUGCAGUAUUUUCACAAAUAUACUGUCUUUAGUUGCUUCUAUCGGAUCAUCUUUACCUUCUGAACUGGACCACCCAUCUCUUCGGAGAGCCAUGCAGAGAAUUUUAAGUUUAAGAUCAUUUACAUCCACCUCCUCUUCCUCAUCAAUAUAUUCCAGGAGAUCAAGUGCUUUCUUGAAGUCAUACUCAUUGGCCCUUCUGUUCUCAUCACAUAUGUACAUAUCAAUGAGCUGAGUUGCAGACAG